rnacentral:rRNA from 1 species
UACGGGGGGGGCAAGCGUUGUUCGGAAUUACUGGGCGUAAAGGGCUCGUAGGCGGCCAACUAAGUCAUACGUGAAAUCCCUCGGCUUAACCGGGGAACUGCGUCUGAUACUGGAUGGCUUGAGUUCGGGAGAGGGAUGGGAAUUCCAGGUGUAGCGGUGAAAUGCGUAGAUAUCUGGAGGAACACCGGUGGCGAAGGCGGCAUCCUGGACCGAUACUGACGCUGAGGAGCGAAAGCCAGGGGAGCAAACGGG